CUGCUGGUGAGACGAUGUGUUCAUAGGAAACCUGAAGAUCAAGCAGAAGUUGGAGAAGAUGACAUCAUCACUCAUGUCAUGUACAACACUGUCAAGAUAACAAAAGCCAAUCUGAUGAAGCAGAGAGACAGAUUUAGCUGACUCAGCAGUGAGAACUGAAAACGUCCGUUAUGGAAAAACAACCAUCAGAACAAGGAGGCCCAGACUUUAAACCAGAGCCUGAUGUCAUCUGCUCUUCAGUCCACCAGUCCAACUGACGUCCAGCUGCUGGUCUCUAACUGGUCCCCCAAACACUUUAGACCAGAGGACGUCAACACUGAUCUUUAUGUUUCAUUUUUCUUUCUCACUAAAUCAUAAAAAAA